CACCAGGUUGAUAGGCCGGAUCUGGAAGGAUGGUGACAUCCGUAGGAGACCGGUACUAAUGGGUCGAGGGCUUGACGGA
rnacentral:rRNA from 1 species